CAAAAUUUAAUUUUAACACACACACAUAUCGACACAUACACUUGGGUGCAUGUUUGUAUCGACAAAUGAUACGCAAUAAGCAUGUUGGUGCUAUGGGAUAUGUGGAGGCCUAAC
rnacentral:sRNA from 1 species